rnacentral:rRNA from 1 species
UACGAAGGGGGCUAGCGUUGCUCGGAUUGACUGGACGUAAAGGGCGCGUAGGCGGUUCGUACAGUCAGACGUGAAAUUCCUGGGCUCAACCUGGGGGCUGCGUUUGAUACGUGCGGACUUGAGUGCGGAAGAGGGUCGUGGAAUUCCCAGUGUAGAGGUGAAAUUCGUAGAUAUUGGGAAGACCACCAGUGGCGAAGGCGGCUUGCCAGAACGCGCUCGGACGGUGGA